CUUGUAAAUAAAAGAUUUUGGAUUAGUAGUAUUAAUAAAAUUUAACGGAUUUGGCGGCAAGAUAGCCAUUUAGAGGAACCUGCCCUGUGAACGAUGAACCACGAGUACUUUACUUUUAUUUGUAAUCAGUUUGUAUACCGCUGUUGUCAGUUAGUUUCAUUAGAAAACUUUCAUAUAAUAAUAUUAUUAUGGACUUCAAGUAAAGGUGCAGCUUAUAUAAAAGAGAGAGGUGGGUUACAUUUAAUAGAAUAAAAUGAAUAGAACUAUGAAAUUGGUUUUUGAAGGUGGAUUUAAUUGUAAAGUUUAAUAAAACUUGAUGAGAGCUCUGUCUUGUG
rnacentral:rRNA from 1 species